rnacentral:rRNA from 1 species
CCUUAGUUACCAGCACGUUAAGUGGGGCACUCUAAGGAGACUGCCGGUGACAAACCGGAGGAAGGUGGGGAUGACGUCAAGUCAUCGAUGGCCCUUACGGCCUGGGCUACACACGUGCUACAAUGGUCGGUACAAAGGGUUGCCAAGCCGCGAGGUGGAGCUAAUCCCAUAAAACCGAUCGUAGUCCGGAUCGCAGUCUGCAACUCGACUGCGUGAAGUCGGAAUCGCUAGUAAUCGUGAAUCAGAAUGUCACGGUGAAUACGUUCCCGGGCCUU